UACGAAGGGGGCUAGCGUUGCUCGGAAUCACUGGGCGUAAAGCGCACGUAGGCGGAUUGUUAAGUCAGGGGUGAAAUCCUGGAGCUCAACUCGGGAACUGCGUCCGAUACUGGCGGGCUUGAAUCCGGGAGAGGGAUGCGGAAUUCCAGGUGUAGCGGUGAAAUGCGUAGAUAUCUGGAGGAACACCGGUGGCGAAGGCGGCAUCCUGGACCGGCAUUGACGCUGAGGCGCGAAAGCUAGGGGAGCAAACGGG
rnacentral:rRNA from 1 species